UACAGAGGUCUCAAGCGUUGUUCGGAUUCAUUGGGCGUAAAGGGUGCGUAGGCGGCGCGGUAAGUCGGGUGUGAAAUCUCGGAGCUUAACUCCGAAACUGCAUUCGAUACUGCCGUGCUUGAGGACUGGAGAGGAGACUGGAAUUUACGGUGUAGCGGUGAAAUGCGUAGAUAUCGUAAGGAACGCCAGUGGCGAAAGCGAGUCUCUGGGCAGCAUCUGACGCUGAGGCACGAAGGCCAGGGGAGCAAACGGG
rnacentral:rRNA from 1 species